GCCUCGUUAAGUCUCGCGACGUUUUUUUGUGUAUGAACACAGAGCCAUUUCAGAGCCCCUACCAAUCUGUAUAUCCAACUGAUAUUGGAAGCAUGAAUUGAAUUUGUAGGGGAAAAAAUGAUUUUCUUGUUUGGAUUAAAAACACUUCUAGGUGCCUGAAUAAUUUUAAAAAUGUAAAAUAAAGUGAAUCGGAUAAUAUGGUCAACAUAAAAUCUCAAA